rnacentral:rRNA from 1 species
ACUACGGGAGGCAGCAGUGAGGAAUAUUGGUCAAUGGGCGGAAGCCUGAACCAGCCAAGUAGCGUGCAGGAUGACGGCCCUACGGGUUGUAAACUGCUUUUAUACGGGAAUAACGCGCCUUACGUGUAGGGCUUUGCAUGUACCGUAUGAAUAAGGACCGGCUAAUUCCGUGCCAGCAGCCGCGGUAAUACGGAAGGUCCGGGCGUUAUCCGGAUUUAUUGGGUUUAAAGGGACCGUAGGCCGCAUGACAAGCGUGCUGUGAAAUGUCCGGGCUCAACCCGGGCCUUGCAGCGCGAACUGGCGUGCUUGAGUCCGCGGAAAGCAGGCGGAAUUCGUCGUGUAGCGGUGAAAUGCUUAGAUAUGACGAAGAACCCCGAUUGCGAAGGCAGCUUGCUGCAGCGGAACUGACGCUGAUGCUCGAAAGCGCGGGUAUCGAACAGGAUUAGAUACCCUUGUAGUC